GACGAACGCUGGCGGCGUGCUUAACACAUGCAAGUCGAACGGAAAGGCCCCUUUGGGGGUACUCGAGUGGCGAACGGGUGAGUAACACGUGAGUAACCUGCCCUUGACUUCGGGAUAACUUCAGGAAACUGGGGCUAAUACCGGAUAGGAAUCCUUGCUGCAUGGUGGGGGUUGGAAAGCUUCGGCGGUUUUGGAUGGACUCGCGGCUUAUCAGCUUGUUUGUGGGGUAGUGGCUUACCAAGGCUUUGACGGGUAGCCGGCCUGGGAGGGCGACCGGCCACAUUGGGACUGAGAUACGGCCCAGACCCCUAUGGGAGGCAGGAGUGGGGAAUAUUGCACAAUGGGCGGAAGCCUGAUGCAGCAACGCCGCGUGCGGGAUGACGGCCUUCGGGUUGUAAACCGCUUUCAGCAGGGGCGAAGCUUGUGGUGACGGUACCUGCAGAAGAAGCACCGGCUAACUACGUG
rnacentral:rRNA from 1 species